AGUGAACGCUGGCGGUAGGCCUAACACAUGCAAGUCGAACGGCAGCACAGUAAGAGCUUGCUCUUACGGGUGGCGAGUGGCGGACGGGUGAGGAAUACAUCGGAAUCUACUUUUUCGUGGGGGAUAACGUAGGGAAACUUACGCUAAUACCGCAUACGACCUGCGGGUGAAAGCAGGGGAUCUUCGGACCUUGCGCGAUUGAAUGAGCCGAUGUCGGAUUAGCUAGUUGGCGGGGUAAAGGCCCACCAAGGCGACGAUCCGUAGCUGGUCUGAGGGGAUGAUCAGCCACACUGGAACUGAGACACGGUCCAGACUCCUACGGGAGGCAGCAGUGGGGAAUAUUGGACAAUGGGCGCAAGCCUGAUCCAGCCAUACCGCGUGGGUGAAGAAGGCCUUCGGGUUGUAAAGCCCUUUUGUUGGGAAAGAAAAGCAGCAGGUUAAUACCCCGCUGUUCUGACGGUACCCAAAGAAUAAGCACCGGCUAACUUCGUG
rnacentral:rRNA from 1 species